UUUAAAUUGAAAUAUAUUGAAAAUUUUGUUUUCUUUUUUUAGUUCUGAAGAUGCCUUCAGACUGAAGGCGAAAUAUCGACC